rnacentral:rRNA from 1 species
GAUGAACGCUGGCGGCGUGCCUAAUCCAUGCAAGUCGAGCGAACGGACGAGAAGCUUGCUUCUCUGAUGUUAGCGGCGGACGGGUGAGUAACACGUGGAUAACCUACCUAUAAGACUGGGAUAACUUCGGGAAACCGUAGCUAAUACCGGAUAAUAUUUUGAACCGCAUGGUUCAAAAGUGAAAGACGGUCUUGCUGUCACUUAUAGAUGGAUCCGCGCUGCAUUAGCUAGUUGGUAAGGUAACGGCUUACCAAGGCAACGAUGCAUAGCCGACCUGAGAGGGUGAUCGGCCACACUGGAACUGAGACACGGUCCAGACUCCUACGGGAGGCAGCAGUAGGGAAUCUUCCGCAAUGGGCGAAAGCCUGACGGAGCAACGCCGCGUGAGUGAUGAAGGUCUUCGGAUCGUAAAACUCUGUUAUUAGGGAAGAACAUAUGUGUAAGUAACUGUGCACAUCUUGACGGUACCUAAUCAGAAAGCCACGGCUAACUACGUG